rnacentral:rRNA from 1 species
CCUACGGGAGGCAGCAGUCGGGAAUAUUGCGCAAUGGAGUAAACUCUGACGCAGUGACGCCGCGUAUAGGAAGAAGGUUUUCGGAUUGUUAACUCUUGUCGUUAGGGGAGAUAAACGACUGUACCUAAGGCGGACGCCCCGGCUAACUAUGUGCCAGGAGCCGCGGUAAUACAUAGGGGGCAAGCGUUAUCCGGAAUUAUUGGGGGUAAAGGGUGCGUAGACGGAAGAACAAGUUGGUUGUUAAAUCCCUCGGCUCAACUGAGGAACUGCAACCAAAACUAUUCUCCGUGAGUGUCGGAGAGGAAAGUGGAAUGCCUAGUGUAGCGGUGAAAUGCGUAGAUAUUAGGAGGAACACCAGUGGCGAAGGCGACUUUCUGGACGAUAACUGACGUUGAGGCACGAAAGUGUGGGGAGCAAACAGGAUUAGAUACCCGAGUAGUC